rnacentral:rRNA from 1 species
GACGAACGCUGGCGGCAUGCCUAACACAUGCAAGUCGAACGGAGAGUACUUCGGUAAUCUUAGUGGCCAACGGGUGAGUAACGCGUGGGCAACCUGGCCUCUUGAUCGUGACAACAUCCCGACAGGAGUACUAAUACCGUAUGUGACAGCAAUCUCGCAUGAGGAUGCGUUGAAAGAUGGCCUUUAUUUAUGAGCUAUCGCUAGACGAUGCGCCUGCGUCUGUUUAGCUAGUUGGUGGGGUCACGGGCUACCAAGGCGAGGAUCAGUAGCCGGACGGAGGGGAUGAACAGCCGGACUGGGACUGUGACCCGGCCCAGACUCCUACAGGAAGCAGCAGUGGGGAAACUUGCGCAAUGGGCGGAAACCAGAGGAAGCAAUGCCGCGUGAGGGAUGAAGGAAGUCGUGCCGUAGAGCUCGUUUGUUUAGGACGAAUGUGCAGAUUGUAAAUAAUAAGCUGUAAUGACGGUAGUAAACGAAUAAGCAACGGCUAACUACGUG